AAGAAGAAAGACCUUAGUAAAGCAAACAAUAUGAAGGUAAUGGUACCCAGCACGCCAGCCCUCCAUGCAUUGGACACCCAAGACUCUCCAGGAUAACCUCCAGAAACUCGCACAUUAAGUGCUAAAUUCUUACGGAACUCACCAUCACCAAUUUGAGAUUUCUGCAAUAUGCUUGUUCAAAAAGAUAUACCAGUAUGUUUAAAGCUUUGAUUUUGAAAUGUUUCCAAAUUAUUUAAAAUUUCAAUUAAAAUUUUCAAAUC
rnacentral:sRNA from 1 species